GUGGGGAAUCUUGCGCAAUGGGCGAAAGCCUGACGCAGCCAUGCCGCGUGGAUGAUGAAGGUCUUAGGAUUGUAAAAUCCUUUCACCGGUGAAGAUAAUGACUGUAGCCGGAGAAGAAGCCCCGGCUAACUUCGUGCCAGCAGCCGCGGUAAUACGAAGGGGGCUAGCGUUGCUCGGAUUUACUGGGCGUAAAGGGCGCGUAGGCGGACAUUUAAGUCAGGGGUGAAAUCCCGGGGCUCAACCUCGGAACUGCCUUUGAUACUGGGUGUCUUGAGUAUGAGAGAGGUGUGUGGAACUCCGAGUGUAGAGGUGAAAUUCGUAGAUAUUCGGAAGAACACCAGUGGCGAAGGCGACACACUGGCUCAUUACUGACGCUGAGGCGCGAAAGCGUGGGGAGCAAACAGGAUUAGAUACCCGAGUAGUCC
rnacentral:rRNA from 1 species